ACGGGUGAGUAACGCGUGGGAAUCUACCCAGUUCUACGGAACAACACAGGGAAACUUGUGCUAAUACCGUAUACGCCCUAUGGGGGAAAGAUUUAUCGGAAUUGGAUGAGCCCGCGUAAGAUUAGCUAGUUGGUGGGGUAAUGGCCUACCAAGGCGACGAUCUUUAGCUGGUCUGAGAGGAUGAUCAGCCACACUGGGACUGAGACACGGCCCAGACUCCUACGGGAGGCAGCAGUGGGGAAUAUUGGACAAUGGGCGCAAGCCUGAUCCAGCCAUGCCGCGUGAGUGAUGAAGGCCUUAGGGUUGUAAAGCUCUUUCAGUGGGGACGAUAAUGACGGUACCCACAGAAGAAGCCCCGGCUAACUUCGUGCCAGCAGCCGCGGUAAUACGAAGGGGGCUAGCGUUGUUCGGAUUUACUGGGCGUAAAGCGCACGUAGGCGGAUCGUUAAGUCGGGGGUGAAAUCCUGGAGCUCAACUCCAGAACUGCCUUCGAUACUGGCGAUCUUGAGUCCGGAAGAGGUGAGUGGAACUCCUAGUGUAGAGGUGGAAUUCGUAGA
rnacentral:rRNA from 1 species